rnacentral:rRNA from 1 species
GACGAACGCUGGCGGCGUGCUUAACACAUGCAAGUCGAACGGAAAGGCCCUGCUUUUGUGGGGUGCUCGAGUGGCGAACGGGUGAGUAACACGUGAGUAACCUGCCCUUGACUUUGGGAUAACUUCAGGAAACUGGGGCUAAUACCGGAUAGGAGCUCCUGCUGCAUGGUGGGGGUUGGAAAGUUUCGGCGGUUGGGGAUGGACUCGCGGCUUAUCAGCUUGUUGGUGGGGUAGGGGCUUACCAAGGCUUUGACGGGUAGCCGGCCUGAGAGGGUGACCGGCCACAUUGGGACUGAGAGACGGCGCAGACUCCUACGGGAGGCAGCAGUGGGGAAUAUUGCACAAUGGGCGGAAGCCUGAUGCAGCAACGCCGCGUGCGGGAUGACGGCCUUCGGGGUGUAAACCGCUUUCGCCUGUGACGAAGCGUGAGUGACGGUAAUGGGUAAAGAAGCACCGGCUAACUACGUG